AUUGAACGCUGGCGGCAGGCCUAACACAUGCAAGUCGAACGGUAACAGGAAGCAGCUUGCUGCUUUGCUGACGAGUGGCGGACGGGUGAGUAAUGUCUGGGAAACUGCCUGAUGGAGGGGGAUAACUACUGGAAACGGUAGCUAAUACCGCAUAACGUCGCAAGACCAAAGAGGGGGACCUUCGGGCCUCUUGCCAUCGGAUGUGCCCAGAUGGGAUUAGCUAGUAGGUGGGGUAACGGCUCACCUAGGCGACGAUCCCUAGCUGGUCUGAGAGGAUGACCAGCCACACUGGAACUGAGACACGGUCCAGACUCCUACGGGAGGCAGCAGCGGGGAAUAUUGCACAAUGGGCGCAAGCCUGAUGCAGCCAUGCCGCGUGUAUGAAGAAGGCCUUCGGGUUGUAAAGUACUUUCAGCGGGGAGGAAGGGAGUAAAGUUAAUACCUUUGCUCAUUGACGUUACCCGCAGAAGAAGCACCGGCUAACUCCGUG
rnacentral:rRNA from 1 species